rnacentral:rRNA from 2 species
ACGGGUGAGUAAUGCCUAGGAAUCUGCCUGGUAGUGGGGGAUAACGUUCGGAAACGAACGCUAAUACCGCAUACGUCCUACGGGAGAAAGCAGGGGACCUUCGGGCCUUGCGCUAUCAGAUGAGCCUAGGUCGGAUUAGCUAGUUGGUGAGGUAAUGGCUCACCAAGGCGACGAUCCGUAACUGGUCUGAGAGGAUGAUCAGUCACACUGGAACUGAGACACGGUCCAGACUCCUACGGGAGGCAGCAGUGGGGAAUAUUGGACAAUGGGCGAAAGCCUGAUCCAGCCAUGCCGCGUGUGUGAAGAAGGUCUUCGGAUUGUAAAGCACUUUAAGUUGGGAGGAAGGGCAGUUACCUAAUACGUAAUUGUUUUGACGUUACCGACAGAAUAAGCACCGGCUAACUCUGUGCCAGCAGCCGCGGUAAUACAGAGGGUGCAAGCGUUAAUCGGAAUUACUGGGCGUAAAGCGCGCGUAGGUGGUUCGUUAAGUUGGAUGUGAAAUCCCCGGGCUCAACCUGGGAACUGCAUUCAAAACUGUCGAGCUAGAGUAUGGUAGAGGGUGGUGGAAUUUCCUGUGUAGCGG